UACAGAGGGGGCAAGCGUUGUUCGGAAUUACUGGGCGUAAAGGGCGCGUAGGCGGCCCGCUAAGUCGAACGUGAAAUCCCCGAGCUCAACUCGGGAACUGCGUCCGAUACUGGCGGGCUUGAAUCCGGGAGAGGGAUGCGGAAUUCCAGGUGUAGCGGUGAAAUGCGUAGAGUAUCUGGAGGAACACCCGUGGCGAAAGCGGCGCGCCUGGACCACUACUGACGCUGAGGAACGAAAGCUAGGGAGCAACAGGAGUAGAGUACCCCAG
rnacentral:rRNA from 1 species